rnacentral:rRNA from 1 species
AGAGUUUGAUCAUGGCUCAGGACGAACGCUGGCGGCGUGCUUAACACAUGCAAGUCAAGGGGGCCCAGCAAUGGGCAACCGGCGAACGGGUGCGUAACACGUGAGCAACCUACCGAACUGUGGGGGAUAGCCGGCCUAACGGCCGAGUAAUACCGCAUACGCUUUCGAUGAGGCAUUUCAUUGAAAGGAAACCUACGGGACAGAUCGAGGGGCUCGCGGCCUAUCAGCUAGUUGGCGAGGUAACGGCUCACCAAGGCGACGACGGGUAGCUGGUCUGAGAGGAUGGCCAGCCACAUUGGGACUGAGAUACGGCCCAGACUCCUACGGGAGGCAGCAGUGGGGAAUCUUGCGCAAUGGCCUAACGGCUGACGCAGCGACGCCGCGUGUGGGAUGAAGCUCCUCGGAGUGUAAACCACUGUUGCCCGGGACGAAUAGCUCGAUUAAUCGAGCCUGACGGUACCGGGUGAGGAAGCACCGGCUAACUCCGUGCCAGCCGCCGCGGUAAUAC